ACAUCCAGCGAACUUGGCAGAGAUGCCUUGGUGCCUUCGGGAACGCUGAGACAGGUGCUGCAUGGCUGUCGUCAGCUCGUGUUGUGAAAUGUUGGGUUAAGUCCCGCAACGAGCGCAACCCUUAUCCUUUGUUGCCAGCGAUUCGGUCGGGAACUCAAAGGAGACUGCCGGUGAUAAACCGGAGGAAGGUGGGAUGACGUCAAGUCAUCAUGGCCCUUACGAGUAGGGCUACACACGUGCUACAAUGGCGCAUACAAAGAGAAGCGACCUCGCGAGAGCAAGCGGACCUCAUAAAGUGCGUCGUAGUCCGGAUCGGAGUCUGCAACUCGACUCCGUGAAGUCGGAAUCGCUAGUAAUCGUGGAUCAGAAUGCCACGGUGAAUACGUUCCCGGGCCUUGUACACACCGCCCGUCACACCAUGGGAGUGGGUUGCAAAAGAAGUAGGUAGCUUAACCUUCGGGAGGGCGCUUACCACUUUGUGAUUCAUGACUGGGGUGAAGUCGUAACAAGGUAGGCGUAGCGAG
rnacentral:rRNA from 1 species